rnacentral:rRNA from 1 species
UACGGGGGGAGCAAGCGUUGUUCGGAUUUACUGGGCGUAAAGGGCGCGUAGGCGGUCAGCACAAGUCAGUUGUGAAAUCUCCGAGCUUAACUCGGAAAGGUCAACUGAUACUGUGCGACUAGAGUGCGGAAGGGGCAACUGGAAUUCUUGGUGUAGCGGUGAAAUGCGUAGAUAUCAAGAGGAACACCUGCGGCGAAGGCGGGUCUCUGGGCCGUAACUGACGCUGAGGAGCGAAAGCAUGGGGAGCGAACAGG